GACGAACGCUGGCGGCGUGCUUAACACAUGCAAGUCGUACGGUAAGGCCCUUUCGGGGGUACACGAGUGGCGAACGGGUGAGUAACACGUGAGUAACCUGCCCACAACUUUGGGAUAACGCUAGGAAACUGGUGCUAAUACUGGAUAUGUGCUCCUGCUGCAUGGUGGGGGUUGGAAAGCUCCGGCGGUUGUGGAUGGACUCGCGGCCUAUCAGCUUGUUGGUGGGGUAGUGGCCUACCAAGGCGGCGACGGGUAGCCGGCCUGAGAGGGUGACCGGCCACAUUGGGACUGAGAUACGGCCCAGACUCCUACGGGAGGCAGCAGUGGGGAAUAUUGCACAAUGGGCGAAAGCCUGAUGCAGCAACGCCGCGUGCGGGAUGACGGCCUUCGGGUUGUAAACCGCUUUCAGCAGGGACGAAGCUUUUUGUGACGGUACCUGCAGAAGAAGCACCGGCUAACUACGUG
rnacentral:rRNA from 1 species